rnacentral:lncRNA from 1 species
GGAAAUGCUUGGAUGCCCAGGGCAGCAAAAGUUUGCUGCAGGGACGGGACCCUCAUGGAGAACCUCUACUAGGGCAGUGCAGAAGGGAAAUGUGACAUCAGUGCCCUAGAGUCCCUACUAGGGCACUGCCUAGUGGAGCUGUGAGAAGAGGGCCACCAUCCUCCAGACCCCAGAAUGGUAGAUCCUCCGACAGCUUGCACCAUGCACCUGGAAAAGCUGCAGACACUCAACACCAGACCAUGAACACAGCCAGGAGGAGGGCUAUACCCUGCAAAGCCACAGGAUGGAGCUGGUGAAGGCCAUGAAAGCCCACCUCUUGCAUCAGCAUGACCUGGAUGUCGGACAUGCAGUCAAAGGAGAUCAUUUUGGAACUUUUUAAGAUUUGACUGCCCUGCUGGAUUUCAGACUUGCUUGGAGUCUGUAGUCCCUUUGUUUUGGUCAAUUUCUUCCAUUUGGAAUGGCUGUAUUUACCCAGUGUCUCUACCCUCAUUUUAUCUAGGAAGUAACUAACUUUCUUUUGAUUUUACAGCCUCAUAGGUGGAAGUAACUUGCCUUGUAUUGGAUGAGACUUUGGACUGUGGAAGUUUGAGUUAAUGCUGAAAUGAGUUAAGAUUCUGGGGGACUGUUGGGAAGGUAUGAUUGGUUUUGAAAUGUGAGGACAUGAAAUUUGGGAGGGGCAAGGGCUGGAAUGAUAUGGUUUGGCUGUGUCUCCACCCAAAUCUCAUCUUGAAUUCCCAUGUGUUGUGGGAGGGACCCUGUGGGAGGUAAAUGAAUCACGGGGGUAAGUCUUUCCUGUGGUGUUCUCAUGACAGUGAAUAAAUCUCAUGAGAUCUGAUGGUUUUAUAAAAGGAGUUUUUCUGCACAAGCUCUCUCUUUCUUUGCCUGCUGUCAUCCACGUAAGUAAGACGUGACUUGCUCCUCCUUGCCUUCUGCUAUGAUUGUGAAGCCUCCCCAGAUAUAUGGAAUUGGAAUAAGGAGGCCCUUGGAGAGGGAGACAGACAGAGGAACAGCCGGUUGGUAGAGCAACCAGAAGACACACAACACGUAUUGGUUAAGUUUGCUGUCUUAUAUGGGCAUGGUUUGUGGUGCUCCAAAGCAAUUACAAUAACAUCAAAGAUCAUUGGUGUAACAGAUGACCCUAACAGACAUAAUAGUACUAAAAAAGUUUGAAACAUUGCAAGAAUUAUCAAAAUGUGGCACAGAGACAGAAAGUGAGCACAUGCUAUUAAAAAGAAUGACAUCAACAGACUUGCUCGAAGAAAGGUUGCCACAAACCUUCAAUUUGUAAAAGAAGAAAAAAUACAUGUGAAGUGCAACAAAGCAAAGCACAAUGAAACAAGAGUUUAAGAUUGCUACAAUUCUAUAAGUAUUGACUGACAUCAUUAGAUUAUUAAGAAUGAAGAACUUGAAGGAAAGAUACCGUUUCCAUAUGAGCACGCUCUCCAGUUGCUUCCUGAGAAAGGGCUCAUGGAAGUUUCAUUUUCAGGAAUAUAAUUGCCGAUCCUCUGCAAAAUUCUUCAGCUAAUAUUGACUUGAAGCAACUACAAGGCUGCCCCCAGAUAGUUUCAGAUAUCUGCAGUUGGCUAAGUAACUUACAAUUAGUACACUCACUUUCUGUCUUCUAAUAUUUUGUUGGUAUCCUUUACUAUGUUCAAUCUCCUGAUAUGUUUGUCAUUGUGAGUUUGCAUAUAUACUGUAGUUUUAAAAAAUUGAUAUUGCAAUAUUUAAAUGAAUGAUAUUGCAAUAUUGACAUGGAAUAGAGAUUGGGAGAAUAAGUAUGAAGUAUGAUAAAACUACUAUGUUUAACAGGAAGUUAAUACAAUGUAUUAGUUAAAGGAUUUUACUACUAAUGCACAACCCCAAAUACCCAGAUUAUGUGACAAUUCAUAAUUUUAAAGAGGCACAUCAUAACAUUGUUAUUGUCUAUCCAGUGACUAAUUAAAGUAUAAUCUUUUUAAAUGCUUGUUUUUGAAAUUUAUAAAGUUCAUGGAUAACAGUUCAGUUGUGAUUUACUUGUAAAAUAUGUAAGGAUAGAAUCUAUUUGAGUACAUUAAUAAAUUAUUUUGGCCUUCCAUUUUGCAGUUUUUAAGGGCUGAAGAGAACACUCAAUUUUUCAUUUGUACUAUACUCCAUUACGUAUGAAAUAACAGAUGCACAUUUUUGUUGUUGUUGAAAGUUGGGGCCUCCAAAACUUUAUGACAGAUCGUUCAUAAGUUUCAUGGUUCUAAUGACUGGAAAAAUAAUACAGAACUUAAGCCAUGGAGAUUAUGGGUAGAGAGUAUAGAAUUUAUAUCACAUAAAUCAGUAUAAGAUGUUGGUGUUUUAAGAGACUGUUACUCAUUUCAUAUCCAUUACUCAGAUAGAUCACUUUAAUUUAGAAUCCUUCAACUUUAAUGAUUCUGUAAAUAAUGGGAAGGUAUA